UACGGAGGGUGCGAGCGUUAAUCGGAAUUACUGGGGCGUAAAGCGCGCGUAGGCGGCUUCGUCAGUCAGAUGUGAAAAGCCCCCGGGGCUCAACCUGGGAACUGCAUUUGAUACUGCGGAGCUAGAGUAUGGUAGAGGAUAGUGGAAUUCCAGGUGUAGCGGUGAAAUGCGUAGAUAUCUGGAGGAACAUCAGUGGCGAAGGCGACUGUCUGGACCAAUACUGACGCUGAGGUGCGAAAAGCGUGGGGGAGCAAACAGGAUUAGAUACCCGCGUAGUCC
rnacentral:rRNA from 1 species